rnacentral:lncRNA from 1 species
CAUGUGGAAGUUCCCAGGCCACGAAUCGAGCCUGCACCACAGGGGCAACCCAAGUCACUGCAGUGACAAUGCUGGAUCCGUAACCUGCUGAGCCACGAGGCAACUCCCCAACUUCCAUGUGAAACUAACCUGUUCCUCAAAGAUUCUGUGUACCUUAAAACCAUAUGAAGAGUGAGGUCUAUGAAAAAUCGAGGCCCCUGGGUAGAGACUCAUAACUGAGAUCUGACACCCUUACUUAAAUAUGAAUUUGAUGCUGGCGUGUGACACCGGUGGCAAGAGUCUCAGCUAUGGGGGGGGGCGGGGUACAAAGCAACAGAGGAUGCCCGGGGAGGGUGCGGGGAGGUAAAGGCACACCAUGCUUUGUGCCUCUGCCCUUAACCUGGCGGGGGGCAUCCUUCGCGAGCGCCACAGAGGACAGUCAGGUGCUGUGGCGUUUGAAGCGCCGACCAAAACCAGCCACCUGGGAAGCUGAGUCCAGCCGCAGCUCCCGGGGGGCCUCGCAGCCAGCAAAGCCCCUCACUGAGCUUUCACACCCAUGUCCAACUGCACUACUUCCAAACCCACCAUGGUCCGAGUCAUUUCCAGGGGCAAACCCUGCCGCAAGGCCGUUCACAGCCUUUGUCACAGACCGCCUCGAAAGCUGGGCUGAACGAUGGAUACGGAACAGGACGGCCGUGGGAGCCACCGAAGGGUUUUCGAGCCGGAAGAGGACAGAAUCCAAGUUGGCCUUUAAAGGUGUGAUGUGAGAUCGUGUGGUCGAGGAGAAGGUGCCUGCAGUAAUCCAGCAAGCUGCUGAAGACCUGGACCGGGAAUUUGUGUCUCAACUGGAUUGCAGUGCACACAACGUGACUCGUUCUGACGGCCACUUCUGGGCACAGAGUGGAUUCAAUCACACGCCGUGAGUGAUCCAGGGCCACCGUUGCCCAGGCCAGUCUACACGGCGAUGCAGGGGGCCUGCAGGUGUGUCGGCUCUUUUCACCCAGAUUGCCAUUUCUAGAAUACCUGUGCCAGGGUUUGCUGCUUGGCAGGUGGGUCACGCACACUCUCAGGCUGAGGGCUGUCUGGCUGUGGGCAGGGGGCGCACGUGCUGCCCAUCUCUCGCCUUGGGAUUUGCGCCUUCAAUCCGCUUUGGGCUGGAGCAGCAGCAGGGGAAGGUAAGGGCCGGUUCCUGCCCAGUCGCGAGACCCCAGGCGCGUCCCCGGACAGCUCCGGGCUCGCUUCUUCAUCUGUAAACUGUCCGUCCUCUAACAGCGGGAGCCUCAGGGAUGACCCAGCCGGAGUCCCCGCGUGAGGGCCAACGUCUGAGACGCUCCCCAAGGGCAUGGCGCACCACCUCUGCCACCCUACAUUCAGUUGGUUAGGACAGGUCCCUCUGGCCUCCUGUCUUCGGGGGAAGCUGGCAGGUGGCUGGACUCUAGGUAGGUAAGUUGUCUCUGCUUCUCACCAGCACGCUUCUUCCUAAAGGAACAUCUGGUUGCCUCUGCACGGGCCUUCCUUUCUUCUUGUGAGUCUGGAUGAGGCUCUGGUUUUCCCUGCUUCUCUUGGCUUAUCUCAGACCUAACUCAGAUCACAGUGGGUUUUUUCAGACACUGCACAGAUAUCCCUUCUUAGGCCUCUGAUUAAACUCCAUCUGGCAUCACAAAAGCUGUUUCAAGCCUGGAUUCCUUCUCUAAGGUUAUGUGCCAAAAACCCAUCCAUAAAUUAAUAGUUACGGUAUGUUUAUUAGUUUCCUGGACUUCUAAUAGUAUAUUGAUUCUGGGCAGAAGCUUAGCAUCUGGUUUAGCUAAAGAAUUUAAUUUUCUACAAACCAUACAAUCUAAUCAUAUCAUCUGGUAUUCAAACAAACAUGAAUUGAGUGGCCUUUAAAUGCCGAUGUGUGCACCAGGGCUGCGUUUCUACCAGGCUGCCAUGACAAUAAGGGUGUUAAAAAGAAAAAAGAAGAAAGAUUAAUAGAGUGGAUUUUUAAAAAGGCUUACUACAUUCAGUUUAACUGUCCAUUUUUUUGAGUUUACGCUCUUACUUUCUUUUUCACGUGCGUAAUAAUAUUUUUAAAGAUUAAAAAAAAAAAAAAAAAUACAUUUGAUAAAAUAAAAAUGGACAAUUCUAUCACAGUGUACCAAAUUUUGCAGAACAUUUUACUGAUCCAUGAAAUACAAAAGACAGGUUAAGGAACAUUCAGUGAUUUUUAAAAGCUGGGCCAAAAGACGGCUUCCCUCGCAGACUCUGAAAUGGAAGCAGACCAGCGUGGACUCGCUCAGCAGGAAGAGACCAGGAGGGAUCGGAUUCCUGACACCACCCCGCCCCCCCCCCCAGGCCCCCCAUUCCAAGGUCUUCGCAUUUCUGAGAGAGCUUUCCACAAACAAACGAACAAUUACUGCCUUCCCGUCAGCAUGGGGCGGCAUUCUGACCUUCAGCUUCCUUGGGAAAAUAACCAAGAGCCCUUUCAUCCCAGGCCCCCCGCCGGCCUCCGAGGUUGCACUUGGGGUGUGCCUUCCACCUGCGACCACCUGCUGCCUUUCAGGGCUGCGCCCGCCCGGAGCCUUUGCUUCCUUUCCUCCUGAAAGCACAGGAAGGGAAGAAGCAGGACUGGUCAAGGGGCCUCCGGCACUUGGAGGGCCUCUCGCUGAGCACGGCUGGGCGUCGGCGAGUUCCACCCAGAGCCCCUCCAGGCUCCUCGGUUAAAGCCUUUAAACAUGACCCGAGCCCCAUGGGGAGGUUCAGGCUCCGCCUCACUCCCACCUCCCUGGACAGCCCGGCCUCCCGUCCUGUUUCAGGCGGCUCAUCCUCCUCCCGGGCGCCCGGCCCUCAGUUCCAAAAGCUUCUUCGGGGAGUCGUCAAAGCUUCGAAGCCUCGCGUACGCAGAGCCCCCCCCCCCCGCCCCCAACCUCUGGGCGAGUGACUCUGGUCCCACCCACGACCUUCGACACCACACGACCACCAGCUUCCAGGCUGGCCUGAGGCAGAAGCUGGAAAGCCGGCUGAGGGCGAUGAGAGGGCGCGUGCAGCGUUGUGCACUGAGCAAUAAAUCCAACGUCUUUCCAGGUCGGUCCGUAUCAGGCCAGCCCCGGCUUUGAAGGGGUGAACGGCGUUGGCGCGCUUCCUGGGGUCACACCCUAAUUUAAGCUUUCUGCUGCUGGCGGCCGCUCAGGCUAUUCCUGUUUUUCCUCCUUUGCAAACAGUGGCGAGACAACCCCCCUUUUACGGCCUCCCCCCACUUGUACCUCUGCUCACAGAAGGGGCACUGGACAGGGCACACAGCUGGGCCGGGGCACAUCUGGGAGGCACGUUCCCUCCCCCAGCAGGGGACUGGCACCCUUUUUGCCAACUGGCUUUGUCAGUCCUUGUUUCCGUUUCUGUUUCUCUAGUGAAUGGGGACGGAGAAUAUGUUUAAAGGCUGUACUUCUUUACCCGCAGGGCUGACUAUUCUUUGCCCGAAUUCCACCUGGAGAAACUGGGCACGUCUAAAGGGGAGAGUCGAGCUCUUUACACGUGAACGUAUCAGCCCCUCCUGUGCACAGACCUUCCCCUUCCUCAUUUAACGCGGACUGACCAUCGAGGCCCGGCCCUGGCGGGACCUGGUGGAUCCCCCUGCAGGUUGUCAUCUCGGUAGAUCCGCAGAGCGACGCUGCGGGGAAGGCCCCCGUUCUGUCACACGCGAGACGGGGGUCCAGCAAGGUGAGUGGGAAAGCCGAGCGUCGUCUCCACGCUUGCUGUCAGGCCUGUGUUCUCUCCCUACGCCAUUCGAACCCUCCAGAGCAAAGCCCCCUCAUGUGGCCUUUAAGGUGGUUUCUGAUAGAAAGAGAGUGAUGGGGGUGUGAGGAGAACAAAGACACAGGUGGGGAGGGGGUGGCAUCUCCUCUCUUUAUGAUCAAAAUGUGUCACUUGUUGACAGAGGCAGGUCACGUGUGGCCUCUCAUCACAGGUUUCAAGCCCAAGGCUCUAGACCUUUGCUGGACACUCCUAGCAGCCACGUGACAUUCCUAACAACCGGGUCCCAUGGUUCGGUUCGGAGGGACGGAUUAGAGCAUCAUAAGAUACAGGGCUGUGUGUGUAACUUUAAAAAACCCCAAUUCCUGGGCACCACCCUGAGACAUUCCAGCAUAACUGGCCUGGGAAUCACCAUCUGGGGCAGCUUCUCACUGGCAGCCCUGGUUGAGACCCACUGUCCGCAAACACCUCAGCCACCCUGUUUAGCUUCACUGAAAGUCCACGUUUCCCAGCCGCGGCGGAGGCCCGAAAGGGAAGGUGACUUGCUGAGCUCGCACUGCUGCUGAGAGGCACGCUGGGACCGAGUGCACACCUGACGGGCCCUGGGCCCCUCCAUCACACUGAAAGCCUGUGGAGCAGCCACCGAUCUGCCUUUCAAAGGCAGUUCAGGCCAUGGUAUCAUCUGCGGGUACAGAUGUGCUCGUAACUUAAGACGGCCUUCGCGACGGCAGCUUGAGCUGUUGGCGUCAGGCCUGCUCCUCUGCGUGCUUUGCUCCCAGGCUGUCCUCCAAGCGAGGCCUCACCUUCCCUGACGGUCACCUGGUUUCCUCUGCCCACGACCAUGGUGAGUUCCCUGCACAUCCAGUUCAAACCGUCUCUCUCCCGAGCAUCACCUUCACGCUGGUCUCGUUGCUGGUGUCGAGCACGGGGGCCUCCCCUCCUGGUCCUUGGCGCAGACGUGGGUCUUCACUUGUGUUGGUAACAAAGAGUUAAUGGCAGCCUCCGCCCACCCACCCCUCGCCACUGCUGCCGCUCCACGACACCAGGGACCACCUGGCCUUUGUCCACCACGAGAGGGCACCCAGACAAAGCGUUUGGGGCAGAACUCUCUUGAAACUCGCCUUCCAACCUCCAGAGUUUUACAGACCAGAGAACCCAGGCCCAGGGAGGCCCAGCCCUGCCCUGCCCAGGGGCACACCAGGAAUUUGCGGCUGACCCGCAUUCAGCUUUCAGAGCAGCGGGCCUCUCGGCUGUGGGCCCACAGCCACUUCUAUGCCACGGCUCCUUAGUGCACUGCUCGCGGCAGCAGACUAAAGAGCGCUCCAAGGUCAAGGGUGUUUCUGGGGCGGAACGUGAGCGUUUUCUUGAUGCAGCCUGCUUUCUCGUAGGGUUAUGCCGAUUUUCCUCCAAAUUAAAAUCAAAGGUCUGCACUACAGAAAGGAUAACAUUUGGUGGUUGAAUCCCUAUGAAUACAGAAAGCAGCAAACUGGAAUCAAACUGAAGGCUGAGCGGUUGGGGUACCUGAGUGUUUGAACGGCUGGAACUGGCAUUAUUUUCCCAUGUGACUCCAUCCCUCCCCA